GUUGUUUUUAGUCAGUGGACAGCGUUUCUCGACUUGUUAGAGAUACCAUUGAAAAGGAAGAACUUCUGUUUCGUCCGCUUGGACGGAACACUAUCGCAGCGUCAGCGAGAACAAGUGCUCAAAAACUUCAGCAAUAUUCCAGCCGUGGCCGUCAUGCUCAUGCUUUUCUCAUGGUACGCGCUAUAGUUUUCUUUUUUAGCCAUCU